rnacentral:rRNA from 1 species
UACGUAGGGUGCAAGCGUUGUCCGGAAUUAUUGGGCGUAAAGAGCUUGUAGGCGGUUUGUCGCGUCUGCUGUGAAAUUUCGGGGCUCAACCCCGAACUUGCAGUGGGUACGGGCAGACUAGAGUGUGGUAGGGGAGACUGGAAUUCCUGGUGUAGCGGUGAAAUGCGCAGAUAUCGGGAGGAACACCAGUGGCGAAGGCGGCGACCUGGGCCAAUAUUGACGCUGAGGUGCGAAAGCGUGGGGAGCAAACAGG